UGGUGCAGAGGGGGAGGAUGGGAAAUGUAGGAUCCUACAUUUCCCAUCCUCCCCCUCUGCACCAUUGCGUUUUGA